rnacentral:rRNA from 1 species
CCCGCCCCCGCGGAGCUGCGGAUUAAUUCGAUGCAACGCGAAGAACCUUACCAGGCUCCCCCUCGAGAACGGGCCAGAAAUGGUCAACUCUUUGGACACUCGUAAACAGGUGGUGCAUGGAAACAGCUCGUGUCGUGAGAUGUUGGGUUAAGUCCCGCAACGAGCGCAACCCUCGUUCUAUGUUGCCAGCACGUCAUGGUGGGAACUCAUGGGAUACUGCCGGGGUCAACUCGGAGGAAGGUGGGGACGACGUCAAAUCAUCAUGCCCCUUAUGUCUUGGGCUUCACGCAUGCUACAAUGGCCUGUCCAAAGGGCUGGGGUACAGUAAGGUGGAG